rnacentral:rRNA from 1 species
GAUGAACGCUGGCGGCGUGCUUAACACAUGCAAGUCGAACGGAAAGGCCCAAGCUUGCUUGGGUACUCGAGUGGCGAACGGGUGAGUAACACGUGGGUGAUCUGCCCUGCACUUCGGGAUAAGCCUGGGAAACUGGGUCUAAUACCGGAUAGGACCACUUCGUAGUUGUUGUGGUGGAAAGUUUUUUCGGUGUGGGAUGAGCUCGCGGCCCAUCAGCUUGUUGGUGGGGUAAUGGCCUACCAAGGCGUCGACGGGUAGCCGGCCUGAGAGGGUGUACGGCCACAUUGGGACUGAGAUACGGCCCAGACUCCUACGGGAGGCAGCAGUGGGGAAUAUUGCACAAUGGGCGGAAGCCUGAUGCAGCGACGCCGCGUGGGGGAUGACGGCCUUCGGGUUGUAAACUCCUUUCGCCAAAGACGAAUUUAGGACGGUAUUUGGAGAAGAAGCACCGGCUAACUACGUG